CGGUUAAGUUAGAAAGGGCGCACGGUGGAUGCCUUGGCACUAGGAGCCGAUGAAGGACGGGACAAACACCGAAAUGCUUCGGGGAGCUGUAAGUAAGCGUCGAUCCGGAGAUGUCCGAAUGGGGGAACCCACUGUCCGUAAUGGGGCAGUAUCCAUACCUGAAUCCAUAGGGUAUGGAGGGCAACCCGGGGAACUGAAACAUCUAAGUACCCGGAGGAAGAGAAAGCAACAGCGAUUCCCUGAGUAGCGGCGAGCGAAACGGGAACAGCCCAAACCAAGAGGCGUGCCUCUUGGGGUUGUAGGACACUCGAUCAAGGAGUGACAAAGGAACGGGGUAGACGAAGAGGUCUGGAAAGGCCCGUCAGAGAAGGUAACAACCCUGUAGUCGAAACUCCGUUCCCUCCCGAGUGGAUCCUGAGUACGGCGGGACACGUGAAAUCCCGUCGGAAGCAGGGAGGACCAUCUCCCAAGGCUAAAUACUCCCUAGUGACCGAUAGUGAACCAGUACCGUGAGGGAAAGGUGAAAAGCACCCCGGGAGGGGAGUGAAAGAGAACCUGAAA
rnacentral:rRNA from 1 species